ACCCCAACAGCGGGAGAGUCCGGUUUCGAGCCGGCGCCGAAGGAGCAACCGCCCCGGAAACUCUCAGGCACCCGGACCGCUGUCGUACU
rnacentral:ncRNA from 2 species